AACGAACGCUGGCGGCAGGCUUAACACAUGCAAGUCGAGCGCCCCGCAAGGGGAGCGGCAGACGGGUGAGUAACGCGUGGGAAUCUACCCAUCUCUACGGAAUAACGCAUGGAAACGUGUGCUAAUACCGUAUACGUCCUUCGGGAGAAAGAUUUAUCGGAGAUGGAUGAGCCCGCGUUGGAUUAGCUAGUUGGUGGGGUAAAGGCCUACCAAGGCGACGAUCCAUAGCUGGUCUGAGAGGAGGAGCAGCCACACCGGGACUGGGACACGGCCCAGACUCCUACGGGAGGCAGCAGUGGGGAAUAUUGGACAAUGGGCGCAAGCCUGAUCCAGCCAUGCCGCGUGAGUGAUGAAGGCCCUAGGGUUGUAAAGCUCUUUCACCGGUGAAGAUAAUGACGGUAACCGGAGAAGAAGCCCCGGCUAACUUCGUGCCAGCCGCCGCGGUAACAC
rnacentral:rRNA from 1 species